GGUUAAGUGAAUAAGGGCGCACGGUGGAUGCCUUGGCACUAGGAGCCGAUGAAGGACGGGACUAACACCGAUAUGCUUUGGGGAGCUGUAAGUAAGCUAUGAUCCAGAGAUUUCCGAAUGGGGGAACCCAAUAUCUUUUAUAGGAUAUUACUUUUCAGUGAAUACAUAGCUGAUUAGAGGUAGACGCAGAGAACUGAAACAUCUUAGUACCUGCAGGAAGAGAAAGAAAAUUCGAUUCCCUGAGUAGCGGCGAGCGAAACGGGAAGAGCCCAAACCAACAAGCUUGCUUGUUGGGGUUGUAGGACUCCGAUAUGGUAGUCUGUUAGUAUAGUUGAAGGAUUUGGAAAAUUCCGCUAAAGAGGGUGAAAGCCCCGUAGACGAAAUGCUGACAACACCUAGGAGGAUCCUGAGUACGGCGGAACACGAGAAAUUCCGUCGGAAUCCGCGGGGACCAUCCCGCAAGGCUAAAUACUCCCUAGUGACCGAUAGUGAACCAGUACCGUGAGGGAAAGGUGAAAAGCACCCCGGAAGGGGAGUGAAAUAGAUCCUGAAACCGUGUGCCUACAACAAGUCAAAGCUCGUUAAUGAGUGAUGGCGUGCCUUUUGUAGAAUGAACCGGCGAGUUACGAUUGCAUGCGAGGUUAAGUCGAAGAGACGGAGCCGCAGCGAAAGCGAGUCUGAAUAGGGCGAAUGAGUAUGUAGUCGUAGACCCGAAACCAUGUGAUCUACCCAUGUCCAGGUUGAAGGUGCGGUAAAACGCACUGGAGGACCGAACCCACGUACGUUGAAAAGUGCGGGGAUGAGGUGUGGGUAGCGGAGAAAUUCCAAACGAACUUGGAGAUAGCUGGUUCUCUCCGAAAUAGCUUUAGGGCUAGCCUCGGAAUUGAGAAUGAUGGAGGUAGAGCACUGUUUGGACUAGGGGCCCAUCUCGGGUUACCGAAUUCAGAUAAACUCCGAAUGCCAUUCAUUUAUAUCCGGGAGUCAGACUGCGAGUGAUAAGAUCCGUAGUCGAAAGGGAAACAGCCCAGACCACCAGCUAAGGUCCCAAAAUAUAUGUUAAGUGGAAAAGGAUGUGGGGUUGCACAGACAACUAGGAUGUUGGCUUAGAAGCAGCCACCAUUUAAAGAGUGCGUAAUAGCUCACUAGUCGAGUGACCCUGCGCCGAAAAUGUACCGGGGCUAAACAUAUUACCGAAGCUGUGGACUACACCAUUAGGUGUAGUGGUAGGAGAGCGUUCUAAGGGCGUUGAAGGUCGAUCGUGAGGACGGCUGGAGCGCUUAGAAGUGAGAAUGCCGGUAUGAGUAGCGAAAGACAGGUGAGAAUCCUGUCCACCGUAUGACUAAGGUUUCCUGGGGAAGGCUCGUCCGCCCAGGGUUAGUCGGGACCUAAGCCGAGGCCGAUAGGCGUAGGCGAUGGACAACAGGUUGAUAUUCCUGUACCAGUUGUUUUUGUUUGAGCAAUGGAGGGACGCAGUAGGCUAAGGAAUGCAUGCGAUUGGAAGUGCAUGUCCAAGCAAUGAGUCUUGAGUAGAGUUAAAUGCUUUACUCUUUAAGGACAAGUUGUGACGGGGAGCGAAAUAAUAGUAGCGAAGUUCCUGAUGUCACACUGCCAAGAAAAGCUUCUAGUGAGAAAACAACUGCCCGUACCGUAAACCGACACAGGUAGUCGAGGAGAGUAUCCUAAGGUGAGCGAGCGAACUCUCGUUAAGGAACUCGGCAAAAUGACCCCGUAACUUCGGGAGAAGGGGUGCUGACUUCGGUCAGCCGCAGUGAAUAGGCCCAAGCGACUGUUUAUCAAAAACACAGGUCUCUGCAAAAUCGUAAGAUGAAGUAUAGGGGCUGACGCCUGCCCGGUGCUGGAAGGUUAAGAGGAUGGGUUAGCUUCGGCGAAGCUCAGAAUUGAAGCCCCAGUAAACGGCGGCCGUAACUAUAACGGUCCUAAGGUAGCGAAAUUCCUUGUCGGGUAAGUUCCGACCCGCACGAAAGGCGUAACGAUUUGGGCACUGUCUCAACGAGAGACUCGGUGAAAUUUUAGUACCUGUGAAGAUGCAGGUUACCCGCGACAGGACGGAAAGACCCCAUGGAGCUUUACUGUAGUUUGAUAUUGAGUGUUUGUACCACAUGUACAGGAUAGGUAGGAGCCGAUGAGACCGGA
rnacentral:rRNA from 1 species